AGUGAACGCUGGCGGUAGGCCUAACACAUGCAAGUCGAACGGCAGCACAGUAAGAGCUUGCUCUUACGGGUGUCGAGUGGCGGACGGGUGAUGAAUACAUCGGAAUCUACUUUUUCGUGGGGGAUAACGUAGGGAAACUUACGCUAAUACCGCAUACGACCUACGGGUGAAAGCAGGGGAUCUUCGGACCUUGCGCGAUUGAAUGAGCCGAUGUCGGAUUAGCUAGUUGGCGGGGUAAAGGCCCACCAAGGCGACGAUCCGUAUCUGGUCUGAGAGGAUGAUCAGCCACACUGGAACUGAGACACGGUCCAGACUCCUACGGGAGGCAGCAGUGGGGAAUAUUGGACAAUGGGCGCAAGCCUGAUCCAGCCAUACCGCGUGGGUGAAGAAGGCCUUCGGGUUGUAAAGCCCUUUUGUUGGGAAAGAAAAGCAGCAGGUUAAUACCCCGCUGUUCUGACGGUACCCAAAGAAUAAGCACCGGCUAACUUCGUG
rnacentral:rRNA from 1 species